UACGAAGGGGGCUAGCGUUGCUCGGAAUGACUGGGCGUAAAGGGCGCGUAGGCGGCUCAUACAGUCAGAUGUGAAAUUCCUGGGCUUAACCUGGGGGCUGCAUUUGAUACGUGUGGGCUUGAGUGGGGGAAGAGGGUCGUGGAAUUCCCAGUGUAGAGGUGAAAUUCGUAGAUAUUGGGAAGAACACCGGUGGCGAAGGCGGCGACCUGGUCCUUGACUGACGCUGAGGCGCGAAAGCGUGGGGGAGCAAACAGG
rnacentral:rRNA from 1 species